CUAAUGGAGCACAUCAAAGAUCCAGCCAGCCUGAUAUCCUGCCUGCUAACCUAGGGAAGAAUGCAAGAAACAGGUGAUCAUUUUCCAGGCAACUCUACCAAAGAUUUGUUUUUCCAGACUUGGUCUCAGAAACUACUUUUCAGAGGAAAGGCCUGGAAACAAGGGGAAAGGAAGCAGACGAGUGGAUGUCACAGAAGGAAUUGUUCCCCUUCUUCUUUCCUCCUGUCAUUUUUACUUUUUCUUCUGUAUAAAUGAUUUUACUACGCUGAGGACAAGACCCACUGUUUUAUGCCAGUACUCUGUAUAAGAAAGGGAAUGACAGCUACUGAAGAUGUGUCAGCCAAAUUAAGCCACCGAAGACAUAUGGGCCAAACAAAGCUCUCAGACCCUCUCAGACAGCAGCAAUGAUCCUGCAGCUUCUUGUAACCCAAGGUGAGGAAGGGCCCUUCUCUGGGGUGCAUUCUAGUCAGUUAUUCUUAUUUCUGUCACUACUAGGUGUAGCAGGGGAAUGAAAGCAGCCAAAUAUAUUGUGACAAAUUGAAGCAGUACUAUCUUGGUGCUGCCUACAAAAAGGGGAUAAGGAGAUUUUUAGUUUUGUAUAUCUGAAUUUGCUUCUGGCUCAAGCCCUGUUUGGUAAAGAACAGAUCAAGUGUGAGUAACUCUUCCUGCUCUGCAAUGCAAGAUGGAGAUAAGCUUUUGCACAAUGCAGUGAUAGCUGCUGCACAAAAUCAGUCCUGAAAUGCAUGGACUUAGCUUACCUCUUUUUGUUUUGGUGGUGGUUUUUGUUUCUUUGUUUGUUUUGUUUGUUUUGUUUUGUUUUGUUAUGGACCCAUGAAAGUACUGAGAUGAUAACUUUCUGGUUCAUGGAGAUGCCAGGGAAACAGAUGGCCAAUGGCUUCAAGUAUUUGUAAGCAAGUGUCACAGCAUAAGGAAAAAAUUGAUGGUGCCUGAGUGUCAGGAUACAGAUUCCAGUUCUGAUUGCAAUAUGUUGACAUUUCCUGAAUGACCAGAAGACUAAAUGAGGUUAGAUGCCUUCUGAAUUAGGACUAGUAGCUUUUCUAUUCAAAAUUCCCAAUCUGUAUAAAUUGAAUCACCAUGGUGGAUCUUUGGUCAAUCACAAAUGCAUGAUCCUAAGUGCAUGCAUGCCGUAUAUUUUAUUAACAGAACAAAGUCUGGUAGGUUAUUUUCAGAGGAGAUGAGACCUUUAGGCUCAGAUGUACCAAACAUGAAACCUUGAACUCUCACAAAUGAGUUCAUAUACUAAUUUUUCCCUGUACCUAGCUAAUUGAAGGCUCUUGCUAGACAGGCUCCAUUUAUUACGAGUGCAAUUAAGGUGUUGUAAUGAUCAUGAGCUGUGUGCUCAUGAUCCAGCAUUUAUAAAACCAGGAUAAUGAGCUUGGCAGUGAAGUUUCAGUACUGUUAAAAGGCUGCAAAGGAGUUGCAGAAAUGAAGAUGAUAAAAUGACACACACUCUUAUGUACUCUGAAGUUUACUCUUGUCCCUUUGAACCAAUUAUGACUCAGUUACUUAAUGGACCACAUGCAUUUUGGAUGCAGAUAUGUUGUUUCAGUGUGCUUGUAUACAGGUUUGUGGAAAGCCAUUUACUUCAGCAAGCACCUCUGCAGGAAAAUAUUUAGUGUCUCAUGGGUCAAGCUAACUGAAGCCAAAGGGAUCUCAACCUGAUUCUUUGGUCUUUGUGGUGCUGUACAUGUUGGUAGAUAAUGCAUAUUAUCUCUAAUUCAAAGCUAGGAGCCCUAACACCUGCACUCGUACAGAUGAUGGACUAAUUCCUUUACUGUAGUAAUUGUGCCGCUGAAGUCAGUGGAGCUGCUGGUGCUGGUUCUAGAAUCUCAGUUUUAAUAUUGUUUGCUCUGAAAAAAAGUGUGAGAAUCUUCUAUCUGUGUUUUCCAAAUGUUUCAAUUCAAGGUUUAAUUUUUAAGCUCCAUCUAUUUAUUCUUAAAUAAAAGACAUGAUUAUUCAUAUCA
ensembl:lncRNA